rnacentral:rRNA from 1 species
UCUUGGCCUGAAAUCAGAUGGACUACC